rnacentral:tRNA from 1 species
GCCUUCGUGGUGUAGUGGUCAGCACGCUCGACGCGUAUUCGAGAAGUUCGUGGUUCGAAUCCCUGCGAGGGCA